GAUGAACGCUGGCGGCGUGCCUAAUACAUGCAAGUCGAGCGAACGGACGAGAAGCUUGCUUCUCUGAUGUUAGCGGCGGACGGGUGAGUAACACGUGGAUAACCUACCUAUAAGACUGGGAUAACUUCGGGAAACCUGAGCUAAUACCGGAUGAUAUUUUUAACCUCAUGGUUCAAAAGUGAAAGACGGUCUUGCUGUCACUUAUAGAUGGAUCCGCGCUGCAUUAGCUAGUUGGUAAGGUAACGGCUUACCAAGGCAACGAUGCAUAGCCGACCUGAGAGGGUGAUCGGACACACUGGAACUGAGACACGGUCAAGACGCCUACGGGAGGCAGCAGUAGGGAAUCUUACGCAAUGGGCGAAAGCAUGACGGAGCAACGCCGCGUGAGUGAUGAAGGUCUGCGGAUCGUAAAACUCUGUUAUUAGGGAAGAACAUAUGUGUAAGUAACUGUGCACAUAUUGACGGUACCUAAUCAGAAAGCAACGGCUAACUACGUG
rnacentral:rRNA from 1 species